rnacentral:rRNA from 1 species
GCCCGUACCGUAAACCGACACAGGUGGGUGGGAUGAGUAUUCUAAGGCGCGUGGAAGAACUCUCUUCAAGGAACUCUGCAAAAUAGCACCGUAUCUUCGGUAUAAGGUGUGCCUAACUUUGUGAAGGAUUUACUCCGUAAGCAUUGAAGGUUACAACAAAGAGUCCCUCCCGACUGUUUACCAAAAACACAGCACUCUGCUAACUCGUAAGAGGAUGUAUAGGGUGUGACGCCUGCCCGGUGCUCGAAGGUUAAUUGAUGACGUUAGCUCUGCGAAGCGUUUGAUCGAAGCCCGAGUAAACGGCGGCCGUAACUAUAACGGUCCUAAGGUAGCGAAAUUCCUUGUCGAUUAAAUAUCGACCUGCAUGAAUGGCGUAACGAGAUGGGAGCUGUCUCGAAGAGGGAUCCAGUGAAAUUGUAGUGGAGGUGAAAAUUCCUCCUACCCGCGGCAAGACGGAAAGACCCCGUGGACCUUUACUACAGCUUGACACUGCUAUUGGGAUAAAAAUGUGCAGGAUAGGUGGGAGGCUUUGAUCCAUAGACGCCAGUUUAUGGUGAGCCGUUGUUGAGAUACCACUCUUUUUUAUUCUGAUAGCUAACUAGCUUGAGUUAUCCUCAAGUAGGACAAUGUCUGGUGGGUAGUUUGACUGGGGCGGUCGCCUCCCAAAAUGUAACGGAGGCUUACAAAGGUUGGCUCAGAACGGUUGGAAAUCGUUCGCAGAGUAUAAAGGCAAAAGCCAGCUUAACUGCGAGACAUACACGUCAAGCAGGGACGAAAGUCGGUCUUAGUGAUCCGGUGGUUCUGUGUGGAAGGGCCAUCGCUCAAAGGAUAAAAGGUACCCCGGGGAUAACAGGCUGAUCUCCCCCAAGAGCUCACAUCGACGGGGAGGUUUGGCACCUCGAUGUCGGCUCAUCGCAUCCUGGGGCUGGAGCAGGUCCCAAGGGUAUGGCUGUUCGCCAUUUAAAGCGGUACGCGAGCUGGGUUCAGAACGUCGUGAGACAGUUCGGUCCCUAUCUGCCGUGGGCGCAAGAAGAUUGAGGAGAGUUGACCCUAGUACGAGAGGACCGGGUUGAACCGACCACUGGUGUACCGGUUGUUCUGCCAAGAGCACCGCCGGGUAGCUAAGUCGGGAUGCGAUAAGAGCUGAAAGCAUCUAAGCUCGAAGCCGACUCCAAGAUGAAUCUUCUUUUAAGAGCUCUAGUAGACUACUAGUUUGAUAGGCCGGAUGUGUAAUGGAUGAAAGUCCUUUAGCUGACCGGUACUAAUAGCUCGUUUGCUUAUCUUU